rnacentral:rRNA from 1 species
GACGAACGCUGGCGGCGUGCUUAACACAUGCAAGUCGAACGGAAAGGCCCUGCUUUUGUGGGGUGCUCGAGUGGCGAACGGGUGAGUAACACGUGAGUAACCUGCCCUUGACUUUGGGAUAACUUCAGGAAACUGGGGCUAAUACCGGAUAGGAGCUCCUGCUGCAUGGUGGGGGUUGGAAAGUUUCGGCGGUUGGGGAUGGACUCGCGGCUUAUCAGCUUGUUGGUGGGGUAGUGGCUUACCAAGGCUUUGACGGGUAGCAGGCCUGAGAGGGUGACCGGCCACAUUGGGAUUGAGAUACGGCCCAGACUCCUACGGGAGGCAGCAGUGGGGAAUAUUGCACAAUGGGCGGAAGCCUGAUGCAGCAACGCCGCGUGCGGGAUGACGGCCUUCGGGUUGUAAACCGCUUUCGCCUGUGACGAAGCGUGAGUGACGGUAAUGGGUAAAGAAGCACCGGCUAACUACGUG